rnacentral:rRNA from 1 species
UAAGCGGAGGAAAAGAAACCAACAGGGAUUGCCCCAGUAACGGCGAGUGAAGCGGCAACAGCUCAAAUUUGAAAUCUGGCUCUCGGGCCCGAGUUGUAAUUUGUAGAGGAUGCUUUUGGUGAGGUGCCUUCCGAGUUCCCUGGAACGGGACGCCAUAGAGGGUGAGAGCCCCGUCUGGUUGGACACCGAUCCUCUGUAAAGCUCCUUCGACGAGUCGAGUAGUUUGGGAAUGCUGCUCUAAAUGGGAGGUAUAUGUCUUCUAAAGCUAAAUACCGGCCAGAGACCGAUAGCGCACAAGUAGAGUGAUCGAAAGAUGAAAAGAACUUUGAAAAGAGAGUUAAAAAGUACGUGAAAUUGUUGAAAGGGAAGCGCUUGUGACCAGACUUGGGCUUGGUUGAUCAUCCGGGGUUCUCCCCGGUGCACUCUUCCGGCUCAGGCCAGCAUCAGUUCGCCCUGGGGGAUAAAGGCUUCGGGAAUGUGGCUCUCUCCGGGGAGUGUUAUAGCCCGCUGCGUAAUACCCUGUGGCGGACUGAGGUUCGCGCAUUCGCAAGGAUGCUGGCGUAAUGGUCAUCAGUGACCCGUCUUGAAAACACG